rnacentral:rRNA from 1 species
CAGCAGUGGGGAAUUUUGGACAAUGGGCGCAAGCCUGAUCCAGCCAUUCCGCGUGAGUGAAGAAGGCCUUCGGGUUGUAAAGCUCUUUGCAAGGGAAGAAAACUUACAUUCUAAUAAAGUGUGAGGCUGACGGUACCUUGAUAAGAAGCACCGGCUAACUACGUGCCAGCAGCCGCGGUAAUACGUAGGGUGCGAGCGUUAAUUGGAAUUAUUGGGCGUAAAGCGUGCGCAGGCGGUUUUGUAAGUCAGAUGUGAAAUCCCCGAGCUCUACUUGGGAAAUGCGUUUGAAACUACAAGACUAGAAUAUGUCAGAGGGGGGUAGAAUUUCACGUGUAGCAGUGAAAUGUGUAGAGAUGUGGAGGAAUACCAAUGGGGAAGGCAGCCCCCUGGGAUAAUAUUGACGCUCAUGCACGAAAGCGUGGGGAGCAAACAGGAUUAGAUACCCUGGUAGUCCACGCCCUAAACGAUGUCUACUAGUUGUUGGUGGAGUAAAAUCCAUGAGUAACGCAGCUAACGCG